rnacentral:rRNA from 1 species
UACGUAGGUCCCGAGCGUUAUCCGGAUUUAUUGGGCGUAAAGCGAGCGCAGGCGGUUAGAUAAGUCUGAAGUGAAAGGCUGUGGCUUAACCAUAGUAUGCUUUGGAAACUGUUUAACUUGAGUGCAGAAGGGGAGAGUGGAAUUCCAUGUGUAGCGGUGAAAUGCGUAGAUAUAUGGAGGAACACCGGUGGCGAAAGCGGCUCUCUGGUCUGUAACUGACGCUGAUGUGCGAAAGCGUGGGGAUCAAACAGG